rnacentral:rRNA from 1 species
GCGUGAGUGAUGAAGGCCUUAGGGUUGUAAAGCUCUUUCGCCGGUGAAGAUAAUGACGGUAACCGGAGAAGAAGCCCCGGCUAACUUCGUGCCAGCAGCCGCGGUAAUACGAAGGGGGCUAGCGUUGUUCGGAAUUACUGGGCGUAAAGCGCACGUAGGCGGAUUGUUAAGUCGGGGGUGAAAUCCCAGGGCUCAACCCUGGAACUGCCUCCGAUACUGGCUGUCUUGAGUCCGGGAGAGGUGAGUGGAAUUCCGAGUGUAGAGGUGAAAUUCGU